rnacentral:rRNA from 1 species
GACUAGAGUUUGAUCCUGGCUCAGAGCGAACGCUGGCGGCGUGCUUAACACAUGCAAGUCGUGCGGGAAAGGGACCUUCGGGUCCUGAGUAGAGCGGCGCACGGGUGCGUAAGACGCGGGUGACCUAUCCGCGAGGCGGGGAUAACCCUUCGAAAGAGGGGCUAAUACCGGAUGUGCCCACGGGCAGAGAUGCCUGGGGGCAAAGGGUGCUCCUUGAUAGGGGCACGCCCUCGUGGAGGGGCCCACGGCCUAUCAGCUCGUUGGUAAGGUAAUGGCUUACCAAGGCGAAGACGGGUAGCUGGUCUGAGAGGAUGGCCAGCCACACGGGGACUGAGACACGGCCCCGACUCCUACGGGAGGCAGCAGUGGGGAAUAUUGGGCAAUGGGCGCAAGCCUGACCCAGCGACGCCGCGUGGGUGAUGAAGGCCUUCGGGUCGUAAAGCCCUGUCGGGUGGAAAGAACGGUCGAGGGGCGAAGAGGCCCUUGACGUGACGGUACCACCGAAGGAAGCACCGGCCAAUUCCGUGCCAGCAGCCGCGGUAA